GAUGAACGCUGGCGGCGUGCCUAAUACAUGCAAGUCGAGCGAACAGACGAGGAGCUUGCUCCUCUGACGUUAGCGGCGGACGGGUGAGUAACACGUGGAUAACCUACCUAUAAGACUGGGAUACCUUCGGGAAACCGGAGCUAAUACCGGAUAAUAUAUUGAACCGCAUGGUUCAAUAGUGAAAGACGGUUUUGCUGUCACUUAUAGAUGGAUCCGCGCCGCAUUAGCUAGUUGGUAAGGUAACGGCUUACCAAGGCAACGAUGCGUAGCCGACCUGAGAGGGUGAUCGGCCACACUGGAACUGAGACACGGUCCAGACUCCUACGGGAGGCAGCAGUAGGGAAUCUUCCGCAAAGGGCGAAAGCCUGACGGAGCAACGCCGCGUGAGUGAUGAAGGUCUUCGGAUCGUAAAACUCUGUUAUUAGGGAAGAACAAAUGUGUAAGUAACUAUGCACGUCUUGACGGUACCUAAUCAGAAAGCCACGGCUAACUACGUG
rnacentral:rRNA from 1 species